rnacentral:rRNA from 1 species
AUUGAACGCUGGCGGCAGGCCUAACACAUGCAAGUCGAGCGGAUGAAGUGAGCUUGCUCCUGGAUUCAGCGGCGGACGGGUGAGUAAUUCCUAGGAAUCUGCCUGGUAGUGGGGGAUAACGUCCGGAAACGGGCGCUAAUACCGCAUACGUCCUGAGGGUGAAGGUUGGGUAUCUUCGGACCUCACGCUAUCAGCUUCGCCUAGGUCGGAUUAGCUAGUUGGUGGGGUAAAGGCCUACCAAGGCGACGAUCCGUAACUGGUCUGAGAGGAUGAUCAGUCACACUGGAACUGAGACACGGUCCAGACUCCUACGGGAGGCAGCAGUGGGGAAUAUUGGACAAUGGGCGAAAGCCUGAUCCAGCCAUGCCGCGUGUGUGAAGAAGGUCUUCGGAUUGUAAAGCACUUUAAGUUGGGAGGAAGGGCAGUAAGUUAAUACCUUGCUGUUUUGACGUUACCAACAGAAUAAGCACCGGCUAACUUCGUG